UCUUGGAAAAUCUCAGCUUGUAUUCUUGAGUAGAACAUCUUACUGAUUUUAAAGAAUUACCAAAAUACCACAAGAUCUGCUCCUUUUUGAAGGCAUGAACAGUUUGUAGAAUGACCUGGCUUCUUCCUGCCAUCCCAUCUCAACCGUAAAGGAAGUCUGUCAGUGUGGAAAGAAAAAAGGAGAGUUGUAGACAUCUAUCGUCAAAAAACCAAAAGAAACUAAAGGUUCUGCUGCGCUUUGGAGCUGACUACAAAUCAUGUCUAUGGAAACAUCAGCAACAAACAAUUUUCUAACAAUGAGCAUGAGGAGUCAGAAGGUUGACUCAUAAUUCAGCACCUACUCAGUUAC